rnacentral:piRNA from 1 species
UACAUGAGCAGCUUUUGAACCAGCCCUAAA